GACGAACGCUGGCGGCGUGCUUAACACAUGCAAGUCGAACGCAGUGGCGAACGGGUGAGUAACGCGUAAUCAACCUGCCCUUCAGAGGGGGACAACAGUUGGAAACGACUGCUAAUACCGCAUACGGAAGUAGGUGAUUGCGUCUGAUUAGCUAGUUGGACGGGUAACGGCCAACAAAGGCGAUGAUCAGGAGCCGGUAUGAGAGGAUUGACGGCCACAAUGGGACUGCGACACGGCCCAGACUCAGACGGGAGGCAGCAGUGGGGAAUAGUCCGCAAUGGACGAAAGUCUGACGGAGCAACGCCGCGUGAGUGAUGACGGCCUUCGGGUUGGAAAGCUCUGUUAAUCGGGACGCGGUACCGGAAUAGAAAGCCACGGCUAACUACGUGCCAGCAACCGCGGUAAUAC
rnacentral:rRNA from 1 species